rnacentral:rRNA from 1 species
UACGGAGGAUGCAAGUGUUAUCCGGAAUCACUGGGCGUAAAGCGUUUGUAGGUGGUUUAAUAAGUCAACUGUUAAAUCUUGAGGCUCAACCUCAAAAUCGCAGUCGAAACUAUUAGGCUAGAGUAUAGUAGGGGUAAAGGGAAUUUCCAGUGGAGCGGUGAAAUGCGUAGAGAUUGGAAAGAACACCGAUGGCGAAGGCACUUUACUGGGCUAUUACUAACACUCAGAGACGAAAGCUAGGGUAGCAAAUGGG